UUUGACACGUAAAUAAAUUUUAAACAUGAGAAAAUCUACCUAGGAUUGUUAUUGUCUUCCGCUGCGUGUUACGAACACCUAUACGCAAUCCUUCAUGUAGACCACGGGAUCUAUUCAAGGGGGUCGAAGGGCCAGGACGUGAACCCGAAGGUUCUUUAUCACCUCCCUCCAAAGGUCUGGCAUAUACCUCACUCCCUGAGAAUCCCCCUUCGAAAGGGGUAAAUUAAGAUAAAAUUCCACUUUAUCCAUGACUCAUAUUAUCUUGUUUAUCUCAUCUUCUAGAUCGGUAAUCCUUGCACGAAUACGCUCCAACGUGGACACCUUGGACUUAAGGUGAAUAAUGUUCUACGCCAACUCCGAUUGUAGCUUCAACUAAUUAAGUUCUCGGGUGACUUUGUCCCUCUCUACUUGUAUCCUUUCCAUAAAGGUCUUUUGGGUUUCAAUGGAAUCUUUCCAUGUCUAAGGGUCUCCUCCAGUUACGACAUAAGAAACUCGGCCCGAACCAAGUUAUAAGGCAAAGUGGUGAUCUCUUCGGCCAAUCGGUUCACUUGCGCCUCCUUCUCGACCAAGGAUGAUUCCAAGCUGUAAAACCUACCACUGUAUGUGGUGCCUAUCUUCUUAACCUCUUUCCUUAUCUCCUCUAGCUCAUCCUUGUUCAGGGGCCUAACAGCUCAUAAGUCUUCUUGUCCGAAACCACUGCUUCACAACGAGCUUCCCAGUCUUUGACAUGCUGCUUGAAUCCCUCUAUGGUCUCUUAUAGAUGAUAAUCUUUCUUUGAUCCAGAUUGAGAUCAAAUUCUCUUACACAAAAACAACUUAGCCUUAUAAGCGAAGAAAAUUGAGAAAAUAAGGAGAUAAAGAUCAAAGACAUUACCCGGAGGUACAAUGAAGUAUGUCAUCGGCCAGCGUGGUUCUAGAUUGGGCAGACAAUUCCUCCAUUUCAAAGGAUCCUAUCAAUCCUUCUAGACAUACCUUCCCCUCUCCCAAGCGAUUCAGAAGGUUAACCCCUACUAGUACAUUAAUCAAAACUGGGAGAACACCGGCGCUCGUCGAAGAAUUGGUGAGGAGAAGGCACGCAAGCAAAAGACUGUAGCAGAUGAAGAUGGGAAAGUCUCUCGGAGGGCUCGACCACAGCUGUCCCUUUUCCCUUAUCCAAGGAAGGGGUCUUCUCGCUAACUCCAAAACAGGGGACUUCGAACCCUGGUCUUUCAUUAAAUUCUUCUUUUAAUAUAGAAUCGGGGGACACUGACCCCUAACCUAAUGGUAGUGGUGCCCUUGAGUACGCUCGGAUCGGGGAAUAGCUCUGGGAAUAGAAAUCGGAAGGUCCCGUUUUUUCAAGAAGAAAAUUGCAUGAUCCUUUCCUGGGCAGAGGUGGGAAGCCUUAUUAAUAAAGAAUAGGAAUCCCCGACAGUUGAAAUGCAGUUGGUACGGAUAUUUAUUGAUAUUUAUUGAUAUUUAUUGAUCCUUAGAUCUCCCUCUGAGCCUAAGAUAUGAAUGUUAGGGAUAUAGUAGAUAUGCUCUAGAUCCAAUAUCAUAUUUGAUAACUUGAAUAUAAUU
rnacentral:lncRNA from 1 species